rnacentral:rRNA from 1 species
CAGUAGCCACGGUAAUCCGAAGGGUGCAAACGUUAAUCGGAAUUACUGGGCGUAAAGCGUGCGUAGGCGGUUUGUUAAGUCUGUUGUGAAAUCCCCGGGCUCAACCUGGGAAUGGCAUGGAUACUGGCAAGCUAGAGUGUGUCAGAGGAUGGUGGAAUUCCCGGUGUAGCGGUGAAAUGCGUAGAGAUCGGGAGGAACAUCAGUGGCGAAGGCGGCCAUCUGGGACAACACUGACGCUGAGGCACGAAAGCGUGGGGAGCAAACAGGAUUAGAUACCCCCGUAGUCCCUGUCUCUUAUACA